UCACAGGCGCCUUUCCGGAAGGAGGGCCCGAAGCGGCGGCGGCGGCGGCGGCCUCGGCUCUGGGAUUCCCACCUUCCGAUCUCUGCAGGUUCUUUCCGGGUCAGGUUACUCGUGGAAACCCGAGAAAUUGCUGUUUAUGUAAAAUUUUGUGAAGGACAAAGUUUUGGAAACUCAAGCAUUUGGGGAGAAAGAAGGAAAAAAAAAAAAAACAACGCCUCAAAACUCAAAUAGAGGAGAAAUCGUUUAUGGACUUGGCUCAUCCAUCAAGAAAUCAAUCAGAAGAAAUAUUACUGUUUUUGAAAACAUACCUAAGUGGAUUGAUUCUACUUUCUUUUUUAUGUUGUGGCCUUGGGAAAAAUUACUUCCUGUUUGAUAUUCAGAUGGAAAGCUGAACCACAAUGGACAGAAACAUGGCCACUAUAACGCUUCCUGGUUAUUACUCAUUUAGUACUUGCAGCAAUCCUGCGGGAUGGAUUACUACUGCUAUCCUCAUUUUAUAGAUUGUUCCUCCAAGUUCCACCUAUGUAGAAAUUCUAGAGCUGAGUCCAGUUCUCAAAAGGUCAUCUGGAUGAGAAUGAAAGCAACAGAGAUAUUGUGUUUUUUAUAAAUUGAAGGUUUGUGGCAACCUUACAUUGAGCAAGUCAAUCGGCACCAUUUUACCAACCAGCUCAGAUGGUGGAAAUAUCUUUUAAUUAAGAAAACAGCUCUCCACACCAGGGUGUAUUAGUAAGAGUGGCUUUCAUCUGGUAACAUACCUGUAAUGCUGCACCCUUCCCCGAAGGCUUGGGAUACCCGCUUGCUUUCCACAUGUAUAUGAUUAAGAAAUUCACUUAAUAAAGAAGAUAUGUUCCAAGUUCAUUAAAAAGGAAAUCCAUGCAAUGGAUUCAAAGUUCAAAAGGCAUUAGAAAGCUUAAAGAAUUGGAGGCAAUUGUUCUUGAGAUUUUGGAACUUACAAAUUGGCAUGAGAAUUGAUGAGUGAAGAAAACAUGAAUGUGUGAAAAAAGAACAUAUCUGCAAGGAUAUGUAUCAGCUAAGAGAAAUAGGAAAUAAUAUCAUCAGCAGAGGGUCGUGAUGGUGUUGGAAAUUUGAGGACAUGGAAUAAUUAUCUAAGUGGGAGACUGAAUGGACCAUGAAGACAGAAUGAUUAAGGGGCAAGGGUCCUCUUGAGGUUAGAGAUUAUGGAGUAAA